UAUGUCUCUGGGUCUAUUUUGUUCAUCAGUUUAUUUCAUUCAUUAGAUUCCACAUAAGAGUGAGAUCAUAUGAUACUUGUCUUUCUCUGACUGGCUUAUUUCCUUAGCGUAAUAUUCUUCAGGUUACUCCAGGCUGUCUCAAGGGAUAAGAAACGCUUCUUUUUGU